ACAGAUUUGUCCUUGUUUGUGCUCUGUUGCUACCUAGUACUGCACUGCAAGCAAGACAAGGGAUGAAGAAAAUUUACCUGCAGUUAUCAGUUCUGUCACUGCAGACCCUACCUUGUGGACUGUAGAGAAACUAACAAAUGAAAGCUGCAAGAAGCCUCUCCUACUGUUCAUGCAUCAACACAAAUAUCUGAGGUCUUCAUCCAGCUUGCCAAGUUUUUUUGUGCCUGUUUUAAACGAGUGUGAAAGAGACUCCUAACAUCACUGACUGGUGCUGUGGUCAUGUAUUGCUCUCAAAGUUUUCAAGCAGAAAUGGUAUGGACUUGACAUAUUCAGCUCAGCGGCAGUACUAGAGCCCUACGGGAAAUAUUUCAGUGAAACUUGAGCAGUGAAAAAUCCAGCAACGUCCAGAUCACUCACCCACUGGAUAAGGAGGGGACCUUGAGAAGAACUUCACAUUCUCUGAGCUCCACAGUGAAAAAAUCUGCGAUGGGACCGUGGAUGAAGAAAUACAGAGGUCUGUCUGAAUACCCAAAGCACAAGGGAAAAUGACGGUUACGUACGGAAACAAGCAUCACUAUAUGCAAGACUUUGUGCAUUAUUUUGCAAGUACACUUUAAGUUGUUUGGACAAAGAUUAAGAAAGAGCUUGAAGAAAGCUUUGAGGUAAUGGGCUGUGGAAGACAGAAGAGUGAACCAGUCACCUUCCUUGUUCUUCAGUUCAGACAAUCCUUCGUUUGGACAACUGGAGGAUGAAGAUCCCUGGACAUAAUGAAAGAGUUGAGGUUCAAUUCAAGUUCAUAGCAAGCAAGUCAACUGACGUUUUCAUUUGUGAGCUCUAAUAUAAUGUGCAUCAUUUGCUGAGAGGAAACUUGAAAAACUUGUGGCAUGAUUCUAUGAGAUGUCAAGCACCUUCAGAUGCAGCAGAAGCCAGUGCCCUGUAUGGCGUGUCUGAGUCAUGAAUAGUGUGCCAGUAACAUGCAGUGCACAGAAGUGGAGCUUGCUUCUAAGGACCAGAAAUGUUGUGUAUUGCUAGUUCUCGACUCGUUCCUGUUGUCACAAAGGAAGAUACAAACAAGUUAACGUCACACACUGCAUACCUCACGUCAGAUCUUCAGGACUCACUUUCUCUGUGGAACUUCAUCCUGAAGUUCAGCAGAACAACGAACAACAACAACAACAAAAAAUGGCUCUUGCUUACCCUACCUUGAAACACCGAGCAAAUUCCCACCAGAGUCACAUUAAAUUGGCAGUUCCUCUUGGGCAGCCCUAAGGACUAACAGCUACAGAAACACUGGAGCAAGGCAUACAGUUUACAUUAAAACUCAGGGAGGAAGAAGGCUGACUUACUUGAAGGAGAGGAGAAAACAGCAUCAGCUGAAGGAUCUGGGGACUGUCCGCCACCUCUUCUGCCAGAUGGGUGAAAGCUGUGUCCUUCCUGCAGUGGCUCCACACUGCUGGGUUCUCGCCCUUAAAGCACUAAUUAUGAGGGAGAAAUGUAGCUGUAUACAAUCAAUUCCCUAUUAAACAUCCUCUCCUGUUAUUUAAUG
rnacentral:lncRNA from 7 species